CAUGGAUACCAUAAAGUUAACUGCUGUUUGGGUAAUGGCUUUAUAAAAGCUGUGGUCACUUCCUUUUCAGUAUUGCAUAGUGCAACUUACCUUUAUUGAAAUGACAAAUAAUAGCAACCUGCUCUAUGCUUUCUUAAGGCCUAGGAGGUCUGAAUACAGAAAGAAGCACCUUUUUGUUUAACAAUAAAAAUUGUGAUAGCCAGUAGUUUUUUUGAAACACCUAAGACUCCCCAAAAUAAAUUUGUCGAUAUCACUAAAGCAAUGCAGUAUUUAAGGAUAUAAAAAUACAGCUGUUAUAAAUAUGACAGUAAGUAAGUCUUGAUGAUAUAGAAAAGAAAGACACAUAAAUGUAACAGGAAACAUUACGGCAAAAAGAGUAUAACCACAAUAAAGAAUUACUAGUGAAUAUACUUAAAUUAGGCUAAAAUGUCUUUCUGUGACUAAAAAAAUAUAAGGCAAAAGCAGCAAUUUACAGUCUGGUAGUUUUAGCAGAGCUCACUGAAAAUGAAUGAAACCUGAUUACUCCCUGUGUUGUACUAUUGGACAGAUUUGCAGUGAAGUCUGCUUUAGGUUUGUAGCUAUAAAGGUUUGGUUGGUAAGCUGGAGGUAUAUAGCAUUGCUUAAUUACUGAACAAAUCACAACCCCUGGCUCUUUAUAUUUCAGUACAAUAAAGUUUUCUUUUUCAUCUCAGUAAUUUUCAGAUUUUUAUGUUGUUUUGCCUGGUUAACAUUGCAGACUAGGGUUUGCUCUAACUUUGUAAAAUCCAUUGGGAACCUCUCACUGGCCUUAGCUUAUGCAGUAUCUCACCAAAAUCAUACUACUUCAAGCAGAGCUGUGCUGUGCACAGAAGUGGAAGGAGUCCUGGGAGCAGCAAUAUUCCCAGCUCCAAAUGCUCUGUGGUGACAGAACGUCACGGAGUCCGUGCAGAGGGAGAACAGUGAAGUUCCACAAGUGCUUGCUGGCAGGAUUUUUACAUGAACAGCUGUGACUCACAAUUUCUCCAAGUCCCUCUCUCCAGCUGAGAAGGCAUUUCAGGUCACCAGAUGUACAAUUACCAUUCUCACAGGAGCUAAGCAGACAGUUUCUGACUUUCUAGAGCAGUGUGCUUCUUGUCAAUCACAGACUUCUGCACAUUCACAAAAUACUUCCUCCUGAAGGUCUGUCAGAUGACCAAACCCCAUGUACUACCUUAGACUCCCUAGAGAAUUAUCCUGCCUCCUCAAGAAUCUCUGUGGAGGGGGGGAGGAAAAUGGUUCAGGUUUGCUAAAUGGACAUAAUUCUAUAUAUUUUUCACACACAACACUUUUAUAUCUCAUAUUACACACACUAUCUGGAUCUGAUAGGGGAACGAUAUUUAUUUAAUAGAUACACUGUUUAGUAUUUGCUACUCAUUGGCAAACAAAACUUACAUGUAACAUGAUGAUUUGUUCAGACACUAGUGUGAACACUGAGUAGACAUUAGGGAGAGACAUAGAAGUGGCAGACUAAACAAAUGUAUUGUGAGUGAAAAACAUAGGAUUGAACACGUUCCCAUAAGAGGAAUGAGGGAGAAAUCAAAAGCCAAGCAUAAUGCACAGAAGAGUUAUCUUCUUAUAGUAGUUCUAUUACAUGAUCUAAUUUUGAAAGGAAUUCUCAAGUUUCAGCCUAGAAAAUGUGUUGCAACAGUUGUUGUUUGGAUUUUUUUUUUAGUUGGUGUAAAUUCUAAAAUGUACAGGGUUUUAAUUCAGGCCAGUGAAGGAAAUAAGUAGAAGCUUUCCAGUUUCUGCCAUUCCGUGCUACUGGAGAAGAUGAGAUUAAGGUACAUGCUUAGUACAUGACUCAAAACUCUUUAUUGAGAGAAAUUAGAUUAUUUGGUUCUCUCUCUUUCUGUUUAUCUUUCUUUUCCCUCCUAAGUAAAUGCUAAUUCUAGGUUCUUCAUAAGACAAUACUGUAUGGAAGAGCUACAGUCACUGUAUAGAAUUCCAAAAUCACAUGCAACACACAUUGAAGAAAACCACAGGAAAGUCUGAAUUUUCACAUGUGGUUUCCUAAAAGAGACAGUGGCCACCACUAAAUUCUGGAAAUUCCCAAUAAGAUUCAUGAAUUUACUGUAUUAAUACAGAGACAGAAGUAAUGAGCUGAAGACAAAAAGAAAGUUAGACACUCUAGAAAUAAAUUACAGAUGUCAUUCUGUAAAACCUGCAUUUAGAUGGGGUUGUGCAAAUUAUCUUUCAGUUGGGAAGCUUAUGCCUGCCACAAGCAGUAAACUUAGCAGGUUCUUCAGCAGUGUCCUUUGUAUUGAGGGAGGCAGAAAAGCUGACAGUGGAGAUGGUGCUGUCUUGACAAGACUGACUGCCUGAGAUUGCAUGGCAGUAUGUUGUACCCAUCUCUCAUGAUUUUUGUUUCUAGAGGCAGGGGCUGUCUUAUUUUUUUUCUCUGUAUUCAUACACUGCUUAACACAGUGGCUUCUGAUAGAUGACAGGGCCUCCUAGGUGCUGUAGUAACAUAAGCAGUAAUUAUUAAACUUUGGUCAUAUUAUGCUAUUCUGGUGCUGGUCCUCCCAGGAACUUCAUAAACCACCAUGAAGCCUUCCUGGAGAGGUGGGACAAGUGCAAGUGUACAGUUAGCCAAUUAUCAUAGGACAAUUGACAUUUCCACUCUUUCCUAAAUCAGAUGUAAUUUCAUUUAGGUUUUAGAAGAGUAGGCCUCAGUGGUGAAAUGCAAAUAUAGAAUUGAUGGCAUAUCAAAUUGUUUCUAGUGGUCUCUGUUGUACUUGUCCCAGCUGUGGGAAAAGCAUAUGGAUGCAGCAGCCUGAAACCAGCACGCUGGGAGAGAGGAAGGGGAUCUAGACCAUAGAGGGAGAAGGAGGAAAGAAUAGAGCUCCAAAUUUUUUAAGUUAGUCCUGUCAGAAUCCAGGCUCCUAACAUGGGACAUUUUCAUCCUGUCCUAGAGGAAAUGUGAAGUCUUUUCUGGAAUGGAAUGGAAUAAGGAGAAAGACAAGAAAAACAGAUGGCACUGUAUUGCUAGGAACAAGAGUACGACUAUUACACAUAUUUCUGAAUUAAAUGGAAGUGUGAAUAAGGAUGGAAGAACAGAAUACCCAACACUUUUUGGAAAUCAGUCUCUGAAUUCUUACUAUUUUUUUCCUAGCAAUAAUUGUUUGUUUUAAUUUUGUCUUUUAUCUUAUUAUAUUAAUUAGUUUCAGU